AACGCUUCUCUACCUUUUGGCUAAGAUCAAGUGAAGCAUCUGCUUCUAGCAGUUUUAUAUCUGAUAACACCCCUACCGUGGAAUGUAUAUUAAACAGAUUUUUGAACCCUGGAGAUGGCAGAGGGGCUUGCUCUGUCCACUUCAUGCAUUGACCUGGUAUUGCAGUAACCUCGGAGAGUGGUGCAGCCUUC